rnacentral:rRNA from 1 species
GUUUAAUAAAACUCCUAAACCCCUGUGAACUUACUGGCGUUUGGCUCGCCAGAUAUAGUCUGGUCCGUAAGCAAAUCGACUGCCUGCCUGUGUAACAGGCAGGUAAGCUUUUGUCGCGGGGUCCCGGAUCAACCCGGGCUAGAUAGCCACUUAACUAUAUACUUUUUAUAAAAUCUGUGAACUUACUAGGUUGGAUUCUCGCCAGAGAUAGUCUGGUUUCUGCCACGCAGAUCGACUGCCUGCCUGUGACACCUGUCACAGGUAGGUAAGCUUUUGCCGCGGGUCCGCAUGUAAAUCGUCUGUUUCACAAGGGACGGCGAUUUACCUGUGGAAGAGGUCCGCUAACUAUAUUCUUAGUAUAGUUUGUUCACUAGAUCAAACAUUCUGAAUAAAAACUUAAACUAGUUAAAACUUUCAACAACGGAUCUCUUGGUUCUGGCAUCGAUGAAGAACGCAGCGAAAUGCGAUAAGUAAUGUGAAUUGCAGAAUUCAGUGAAUCAUCGAAUCUUUGAACGCACAUUGCGCCCAUUAGUAUUCUAGUGGGCAUGCCUGUUCGAGCGUCAUUUCAACCCUUAAGCCCCUGUUGCUUAGCGUUGGGAGCCUACAGCCUGCUGUAGCUCCUUAAAGGUAGUGGCGGAGUCGGUUCACACUCUAGACGUAGUAAAAUCUUUAUCUCGCCUAUGGAUGAGCCGGCGCCUUGCCGUAAAACCCCUAAUCUUUCACAAGGUUGACCUCGGAUCAGGUAGGAAUACCCGCUGAACUUAAGCAUAUCAAUAAGCGGAGGAAAAGAAACCAACAGGGAUUGCCCUAGUAACGGCGAGUGAAGCGGCAACAGCUCAAAUUUGAAAUCUGGCCUUCGGGUCCGAGUUGUAAUUUGCAGAGGAUGCUUUGGGCGCGGUGCCUUCCGAGUUCCCUGGAACGGGACGCCUUAGAGGGUGAGAGCCCCGUACGGUUGGACACCAAGCCUCUGUAAAGCUCCUUCGACGAGUCGAGUAGUUUGGGAAUGCUGCUCUAAAUGGGAGGUAAAUUUCUUCUAAAGCUAAAUAUUGGCCAGAGACCGAUAGCGCACAAGUAGAGUGAUCGAAAGAUGAAAAGCACUUUGAAAAGAGGGUUAAAUAGCACGUGAAAUUGUUGAAAGGGAAGCGUUUGCGACCAGACCUUUUCCCAGCGGAUCAUCCGGUGUUCUCACUGGUGCACUUCGCUGGGUUGAGGCCAGCAUCGGUUUCCGCAGGGGGAUAAAAGCCUGGGGA